rnacentral:rRNA from 1 species
AUUGAACGCUGGCAGCAGGCCUAACACAUGCAAGUCGAGCGGAUGAAGGGAGCUUGCUCCUGGAUUCAGCGGCGGACGGGUGAGUAAUGCCUAGGAAUCUGCCUGGUAGUGGGGGAUAACGUCCGGAAACGGGCGCUAAUACCGCAUACGUCCUGAGGGAGAAAGUGGGGGAUCUUCGGACCUCACGCUAUCAGAUGAGCCUAGGUCGGAUUAGCUAGUUGGUGGGGUAAAGGCCUACCAAGGCGACGAUCCGUAACUGGUCUGAGAGGAUGAUCAGUCACACUGGAAAUUAGACACGGUCCAGACUCCUACGGGAGGCAGCAGUGGGGAAUAUUGGACAAUGGGCGAAAGCCUGAUCCAGCCAUGCCGCGUGUGUGAAGAAGGUCUUCGGAUUGUAAAGCACUUUAAGUUGGGAGGAAGGGCAGUAAGUUAAUACCUUGCUGUUUUGACGUUACCAACAGAAUAAGCACCGGCUAACUUCGUG